UGAGGAAUAUUGGGCAAUGCCCGCAAGGGUGACCCAGCAACGCCGCGUGGAGGAUGAAUGUCGUAAGAUUGUAAACUCCUGUUAGAGGGGAAGAAUAGUACCGGUUGGACCGGUAUAUGACUGUACCCUCAGAGAAAGCCCCGGCUAACAACGUGCCAGCAGCCGCGGUAAUACGUAGGGGGCAAGCGUUGUCCGGAUUUACUGGGUGUAAAGGGCGCGCAGGCGGGAUAAAAAGUCAGUGGUGAAAUCCUACAGCUUAACUGUAGAACUGCCUGUGAUACUUUUAUUCUUGAGUUCGGGAGAGAGAGACGGAAUUCCAGGUGUAGUGGUGAAAUACGUAGAUAUUUGGAAGAACACCAGUUGCGAAGGCGGUCUCUUGGUCCGACACUGACGCUGAGGCGCGAAAGCGU
rnacentral:rRNA from 1 species